rnacentral:rRNA from 1 species
GUGUCAGCAGCCGCGGUAAUACGAAGGGGGCUAGCGUUGCUCGGAAUCACUGGGCGUAAAGGGUGCGUAGGCGGGUUUUUAAGUCAGAGGUGAAAUCCUGGAGCUCAACUCCAGAACUGCCUUUGAUACUGAAAGUCUUGAGUAUGGGAGAGGUGAGUGGAACUGCGAGUGUAGAGGUGAAAUUCGUAGAUAUUCGCAAGAACACCAGUGGCGAAGGCGGCUCACUGGCCCAUAACUGACGCUGAGGCACGAAAGCGUGGGGAGCAAACAGGAUUAGAUACCCGCGUAGUCC